UUUGUUUAUUUCUCACUCGGAGAAAUCAAUCGAACUCCCCAGCAUUUCCAUUGCUGCCACUACCAUCACAUCUCCGUCUCCGUCACCACCACAACCAACGCCACCAACACCAGUACCACAAUCAUCUCAUCACCAUCUUUAUCUUCACAAUCAACAACAAACCAAAUCUCACCAUUUUUCCGUCACCAUCAAAAAGAGGGGUUUUUGUUCAUGAGAUUUGAGUGAGGUUCCCCAAGAGAUUCAGUGAGAUUUUCGUAAGAUUUCAGAUCUGUAGAUGUUUUUCAUAUUCCUUUUUCGAUUUUUUUUUUUGUUGUUGUUCCGAUUGAAAUUAGGUUUCAAGAAUCAUCGACAGGUUCAGAAAUCAAACUUUAAAUUUAUUAGCAGCAAAUUAGGUCUCAUAAAAUACCGAUCGAAAUUCAUAAAACUAGGUUUUCUUUAAGGUAUCUUUAUGCUUUUUUCAUUCAGCGAUGUUACUGAUUUGGGUUCACAAAAUUUUAUGAGAAUGGAUUUAGUGAUUAAUUUGGUUUCAUAUAAUCUACAAACAAGGACGAACUCGUAUUUACAGCAUCAUUUGGUUGUAUGAAAGCCAAGGAGCGGGUUGGGGAAACAAAGAACAUAUUUGCUUUCUAAUGGUAUUUUCAUCAAUGUUCUUUACUAGCAUUGUUGUCAUUUUUUCUUCAUAUUUUAGCUUUGAGUACUGUUAUGUUCUUAGUGUGCACCACAGAUACAUUACAGAUGACCGUUUCGCGGGGUUUGGUGUAUGGAUACAAAUGGGGUGUUUUGAUGUUGUGGAUAGUUAUAGGUCUGUGCACAAUCAAGCCGAUGCUCCGGAAAAAAAAGUGAAGCCUGGUACUACGCAUUGAUGCCUGCUUUGUUCUGAUGCUACUGGCUCUGAUUCUGCUGGUGGAGCGUACCCACAUUUUCUCUCUCAAGCUUGAGCUGCAAUAGGGAUUGAGAUGAAAUUAGGGAUUGAUGGCACAUCAUGGGAAUACUUCAUUGCCAUCGCAAUUAAGGCAAACAUGGUGGUUACACAGUUUUUUCUUUGCAACCUAAGCAUCUCAGUUAACGAGAUGAAAAGCGUUGUAAAAGAUACUUGGACUUAUCAUCAUGAAGACCUCAUCUUUCUUACAGUGUUGAUGAAGGGUUGCAUCGUUUAUUCUUAUUUUUUUACUUAAAAUGUUUAAAUUCAUCGUCAAACUCGUUUAGACUCGAUGCAUUGAAGUUCUGAAUUCAGUUAAAUGUCAGUUCAAGUGCUUAUUCAUCUGGUGUUUGUUCUUCGUCAUCUAGUUGUGUUUUAAAUGGCGAAGUAUCUGUGUUGUAGAAGAAUUGGUUGAUAAUGUAAGUGUUGUAGAAGAUGAUCUUAGAGUCUCUGAACACUUGAUUUUUCAGUUAGACUUUAUUUUAAUAGAUGAUCAUAGACUUAUUUUAUGAA